UUGAUGAUGUUGCCCCAUCUUCUCUGAAGGGGAAACAUAUUGUCUGAAUUUUCUUUCCAGUAUGAUAGGCAAUUAGACUUAAAACUUGUAUUUGUUAAUUCUUAUUGAUUCUCAAACAAGUUCAGAUGUGGCUGGAGUGUGCCAGUUGUUGUCCUUAAACACCUAGUGCUCACACUUACAUAUAUGACACAACAGUGAUUUCUCCCAGUAAGGGAGCCCUGGCUGUGUUCUGGAGGCUGUUUCUCUUAUUGAUGAGGUCUUGGGAGGAAAGGGGAUAUAUUUCCUUGGCUUUUCUGCCCUAUCACUGGCUGAGAUGUGUAUGUAUUGAUGGGUACUGGAGCAGCGUUUUUUACUCCAAUGUGGAAGCUGUGUGUUGAGUAUGGUAGAGCCACAAGAUGGAAGGAAUCUGGGUUGAUGAAACCAUGAAGCCUCCAUAACAGCUCUGGGCCUCUUUUUACUACUGUUACAUAUCAAAAAAAAUGUUUAUAAUAAAAUGCUAACUGUAACCACGGCAGAUGUUUCAAUACUAGAUUUGAGAUGAAGAAACUGAAAACAAAGUGUUUAAAAUACAUUUCAACCUAGGGCUGGGGAUAUGGCCUAGAGGCAAGAGUGCUUGCCUCGUAUA